rnacentral:misc_RNA from 1 species
GGAAGUAAAAAUCGUAACAAGGUUUCCGUAGGUGAACCUGCGGAAGGAUCAUUCAUAAUAAGUGUUUUAUGGCACUUUUUUAAAUCCAUAUCCACCUUGUGUGCAAUGUCAGGGUUGAUUUUUCUCUCGAGAGGGUCAGCCCCAAACAUCAACUAUAUCUCAACUCUUUGUCUGAAAAAUAUUAUGAAUAAAACAAUUCAAAAUACAACUUUCAACAACGGAUCUCUUGGCUCUC